AUUGAACGCUGGCGGCAGGCUUAACACAUGCAAGUCGAACGAGUGGCGGACGGGCGAGUAAGGGUUGGGAAUCUAGCUUAUGGAGGGGGAUAACUACGGGAAACUGUAGCUAAUACCGCGUACCAUCGGAUGUGCCCAGAUGGGAUUAGCUAGGAGGUGGGGUAACGGCUCACCUAGGCGACGAUCCCUAGCUGGUCUGAGAGGAUGACCAGCCACACGGGAACUUGGACACGGUCCAGACGCCGACGUGAGGCAGCAGUGGGGAAUAUUGCGCAAUGGGGGCAACCCUGACGCAGCCAUGCCGCGUGAAUGAAGAAGGCCUUCGGGUUGUAAAUUUCUUUCGGUAGCGAGGCGUUAACUACAGAAGAAGCACCGGCUAACUCCGUGCCAGCAGCCGCGGUAAUAC
rnacentral:rRNA from 1 species